AUGGUAGCCCUGCCGCCAGUGUUGCCGGACUAUCCGGACAUUGUAUCAUGGCGGCUCUCACCUUUAGGUGAGUUUUCCGUCAAAUCCGCAUACAAGGCUCUAGGCCGCCUCCCCGUUAUCCCUUGGCUAUCUAACUUGUGGAAGGCUCCCAUGCCCUUGAAGAUAAAGAUCUUCGUCUGGCAGCUUCUUAGAAAUCGCCUCCCUUCGGGGACCGAGGUGCUCAAGCGACAGGGCCCAGGUGAUGGACUUUGCCCUUUAUGCAGGGUCCCUGAGACUAUGGCACAUAUUAUAUUCUCGUGCACGGCGGCUCGAGUGUUUUGGCAGUUCGUCCGUGAGGCACUAGGGCCCGACUGGGAGGCCCUGGAUCUCGUGGACUUUGUCCAGGCCAGGGCUACCAUGUCAGGACGACACCGCCGCACAUUCUGA
rnacentral:rRNA from 1 species